AAGCCCCCUCUGCGUGGCCUUUACCGUGAUAUAUAUAUCUAUCUCUCUGCCACAAUGCUAGCUGUCUUCUGCCGCCUAGCUCCGUAUGUACGGAUGUGUCAGGCGCCUGCUCCAUGCGUAACGGCCAUUAAUUCUCCUCUGAUACGUAUGAUUCUCCUCUGAUACGCAUGCGGAAGGACCUACCAGCGGGGCAUCUUGGUCAUUUUCCCCUUUCCGGGCUGGGUUGAAUGGUAGGGCUGAAAUUGAGCCUGGUGAGGGCCUGAUUACUGGGCCGAGAGGUUUGGGCCGGUUUGGUUGAGGAGUCUAGGCGGAGUCCGACCCUGUGACUGAGCGGGCUGGACCUGGCUCUCGAGGGGAAUAUUGAAGCCUUCGGAUCAUGGACUGUUUUCAUGGGCCUGGCCUUUAUACCGGGGUGAAGAAAUCCAGUGAUCAUCA
rnacentral:lncRNA from 1 species